rnacentral:lncRNA from 1 species
GGGAUAUCCGGAUAUGGUAAGGUUUGUAUGUUGCUUAAGGAUGUUUUAUCAAAGGGUCAUGUGAUUGAAUGCCCCUAAUCUAUGAUCCACAAAUCUACACUUGAUUCAAAGCAUUUACAUAAAGUAUUACCAAAAUCAAUACAAAAGACACAAAUCACUGUAUCUGCAAAAUUUACUAAACCAACAUUGAAGACCUUAAUUACAUAGAUAAUUGCUACUACCCUUCUCCUUAAGGCUUUAAGGCGAAUCAUAUGGCGGUUGAAAAGAAAAAUGACUUCACCUUCUCUGGUGUCAAUGAGAGCAAUUUGAGCACCCCCGAUUGACCUGUUUUUCCCGAGGACUUUCAAAUGCGUCUCCCGCACCUAAACUUGGGGAAGAAGUGCAUAAUGUCCUUCCUCAGCCGUGUUGUUAAUUUGCAAUUGCUACACCAAGCUCAUAAGUUGACCAUACUGCUCCUUUGAUGCGUUGUUAACUUGUCCUCUAGGUUGUAAGUGUUCCUUCCCAUAUACAGACAUCAUGUCAUUUGGUACACCAUGCACACCCUUCACAACCCUUUUUCCUUUGGAAUUUUAAAUAUGCUCAAAGUUUGAGCUGUUUGAACUGUUGUUUUAUCUGGGUAUCUGGUUGUAGGACUUGGAAGGUUGAUUAGUGUUGGCCUGUGGAUAACCGUGCAGCUUAUAACACCUCUUGUUGGUUGUCACGACCCAAUUUUUCAAGUCGUGAUAGCGCCUACUCUAACCCACCAAUAGGCAAGUCAAGCCAUAGACCGGAAUGAUAGGUAACGGGCUAACAGAUAAUAAAAGAUCACAUAUCAUGAUAGCAUCAACAAUAGUAAGUGAAAUCUAAGAAGGGAGCAUAUAUAUUAUAUCAAAAUGAGAGGAGAAAAAAGGAUUAACUAUACAAAUGAAUCCUUACCAAGACCUGAUAAGGUCAAUACUAGAGCCACUACUAACAGGUACCCAGAGUAUUAGACAAAAAUCUAAAAUGUACACAUUCCACUACUAACAGGUACCCAGAGUAUUAGACAAAAAUCUAAAAUGUACACAAUAUACACAAGCAGUAUCGAGUGCAAAAGACUAACUAGAGUAGAUAGAGGAGGAUCAGCCUCGGACGACAGCAAGUCCACCUUGCUCUGAAUCAGUACAGAAGGUAGGAAUCACGUCAACGUUGACUGCUAGUACCCGGAUCUACAUCAGGAAAAGGAUGCAGAAGUGUAGUAUGAGUACCAAAACAACGGGUACUCAAUAGGCAUCAUCGGCUGAUUGAGCUCAAUACAGAAAAGGUAUAAUUACAAUGUGAGGACGUAAUUUGAGUCAUCAGUAAAUAGGGAUGGAAAGGUAAGCAACUACCAAGCUACGCAACGGCUAUAAAGGAAUAAACAGAAAAUAAAUAAUGCAGUAAUAACUGACAAAUCAAAGAUAACCUAAGUGGUCCCCCAUAAGCCCGCUAGGCACACUGAAGAAAACAAUUAACCCAACUGUACCCCCAUAAGCUGGUGGGACGCACAAGUAACGAAAAUAAACAUAAAUAAUCUAAAAUUGCACUGAUCCCAAUAAAUCAUGAUAGUCAUCCAGAUGUGCACCAAACUCAAACUGGUACCAAUGGGUGGUAACGAGAGGCCAGACACCGGACUCGAACCGAUAGUAAUGGAUAAUAACAAGAGGAGACGUGCCGGAUUCCAAUCGGACAUAGUGAGUAAUAACGCUAGGCCAUAUAUAUAGAACUCAUAAUCAGCUGUCGGACUCGAACCGAAACUCAGAGGAACCACAACCAUAAUCAGAUGCCGAACUCGAACCGAAACUCAUAGUAACAAUAAUAAUCAAAUGUCGGACUUGAACCGGAACUCAUAGUAACAAUAAUAAUCAAAUGCCGGACUUGAACUGGAACUCAUAGUAACAAUAAUAAUCAAAUGCUGGACUCAAACCGGAACUCAGUAACAAAAAUAAUCAAAUGUCAACGUCUAAAUAAUCAUCCGUCAAUCUUAAUUAAAAAGGGAUAAAUUCAAGAUUUUGCAAUUUAGUUUCACAUCCUAAAGUGAUAGAUGUCAUAUUAUAUUAAAAGAUAAUAUUUCAAUAUUUACUAGAACGGGAUCUUAAUCCAGAUAAAUAAGACAGUUUAUAUAAAACAAAUAAAUAUGCAUCUACAAGCACCUAUCCAAAGUUAGCAUAAUAGUUUACAAUUUCAAUAAAUAAGUUCAAUCUAAAGGUAGGGUAAGCCUAAUCUACCUGAACGCCAAGACUGUAAUAGCUUUCUGUGAAGCCUCCAAAUAGUAUCCCGUUAGAACCUGAGUUUAAAUAAUGUCAAAGAAAUUAUUUUUCACAACACCUCUUAACUUAUAUGCAAUUUUAUAGAGCUAACCACGAACUCUAACCAAUAUUCUUUGAAAAAAAAAAAAGAGAUAAUAAACCGAGAAGGUCCAAAUAUAAGGAAAAACACAAGUAUGGAUGUGAUGAAAGUUUACUUUAAG